AGGGUAUGAAAUGUCGAGCGCGAGCGACACCUAAGUUUACCCCACGUAAGUUUUUAAAUUUUUUAAAUUGCCAAAAUCGACAUUACCGACAUAGUAGGCGACAUACAUUUUACUGAAACGACAACAGAUGAUGCGACGGCGGUUGCGAUUAUCGGAGGAAUUCCCCAGUAGUUGUGGCGUUAUUGAGCAAUAGUGAGUAGUUUCACAACUUGUAAUGUUUUAAAAUUUUUGAGAAAAGUACUUUUACCUAUCCUGAAAAAAAACCGUGAUGUACAGUCUACACUAUUACGGGGUCAAAUUAAUUUGAAAUAGAUUAUACAGCUCCUGCAGGAGUUAAAGGUCAAGAAGCCGCUUUCCAUUUUCCUGAAGUAACAGCGGUUUCAACGAAAGUGGCAGAACUUCUUCUGGUAGAGGAAUAGAAGCAGACGGAAUUGCCCCAUUAAAAGAUGAAAAAGUACUGCAUCCAGUGAAAACAUAUGACGGGAAAAGAAGAAUUGUUUCAACUGCAGAAAGUACACU